UACGUAGGGGGCAAGCGUUGUCCGGAUUUAUUGGGCGUAAAGCGCACGCAGGCGGUCUUUCGCGUUUUGAGUGACAGGGGGUAGCUUAACUACUUCAGGCCUUGAAAUACGGAAAGACUUGAGGGCGAGAGAGGGAUGCGGAAUUCCAGGUGGAGCGGUGAAAUGCGUAGAGAUGUGGAGGAACACCAGUGGCGAAGGCGGCUCUCUGGACUGUAACUGACGCUGAGGCGCGAAAGCGUGGGGAGCAAACAGG
rnacentral:rRNA from 1 species